rnacentral:snRNA from 1 species
GUGCUUGCUUCAGCAGCACAUAUCUAAAAUUAGAAUAGAGAUUAGCCUGACCCCUGUGCAAAGAUGACAUGCAAAUUUGUGAAACAUUCCCUAUUUUU